GGGAGCUUGGCUCAGUUGGAAGAGCGCAGGUCUCAUAAUCCUGAGGUCGUGAGUUCGAGCCUCACAGUUCCCA
rnacentral:tRNA from 5 species